rnacentral:rRNA from 1 species
GACGAACGCUGGCGGCGUGCUUAACACAUGCAAGUCGAACGGAAAGGCCCUGCUUUUGUGGGGUGCUCGAGUGGCGAACGGGUGAGUAACACGUGAGUAACCUGCCCUUUACUUUGGGAUAACUUCAGGAAACUGGUGCUAAUACCUGCUAGGAGCUCCUGCUGCAUGGUGGGGGUUGGACAGCUUCGGCGGUUGGGGAUGGACUCGCGGCUUAUCAGCUUGUUGGUGGGGUAGUGGCUUACCAAGGCUUUGACGGGUAGCCGGCCUGAGAGGUGGACCAGCCACAUUGGGACUGAGAUACGGCCCAGACUCCUACGGGAGGCAGCAGUGGGGAAUAUUGCACAAUGGGCGGAAGCCUGAUGCAGCAACGCCGCGUGCGGGAUGACGGCCUUCGUGUUGUAAACCGCUUUCGCCUGUGACGAAGCGUGAGUGACGGUAAUGGGUAAAGAAGCACCGGCUAACUACGUG